rnacentral:misc_RNA from 1 species
UACGUAGGUGGCAAGCGUUGUCCGGAAUUAUUGGGCGUAAAGCGCGCGCAGGUGGUUCCUUAAGUCUGAUGUGAAAGCCCACGGCUCAACCGGGGAGGGCCAUUGGAAACUGGGAGGCUUGAGUAUAGGAGAGAAGAGUGGAAUUCCACGUGUAGCGGUGAAAUGCGUAGAGAUGUGGAGGAACACCAGUGGCGAAGGCGACUUUCUGGUCUGUAACUGACACUGAGGCGCGAAAGCGUGGGGAGCGAACUCG